AACGUAGGACACAAGCGUUAUCCGGAGUUACUGGGCGUAAAGGGCUCGUAGGCGGCCAACUAAGUCGGAUGUGAAAUCCCCAGGCUUAACCUGGGAACUGCAUCCGAUACUGGAUGGCUUGAAUUCGGGAGAGGGAUGCAGAAUUCCAGGUGUAGCGGUGAAAUGCGUAGAUAUCUGGAGGAAUACCGGUGGCGAAGGCGGCAUCCUGGACCGACAUUGACGCUGAGGAGCGAAAGCUAGGGGAGCAAACGGG
rnacentral:rRNA from 1 species